GAUGAACGCUGGCGGCGUGCCUAAUACAUGCAAGUCGAGCGAACAGACGAGGAGCUUGCUCCUCUGACGUUGGCGGCGGACGGGUGAGUAACACGUGGAUAACCUACCUAUAAGACUGGGAUAACUUCGGGAAACCGGAGCUAAUACCGGAUAAUAUAUUGAACCGCAUGGUUCAAUAGUGAAAGACGGUUUUGCUGUCACUUAUAGAUGGAUCCGCGCCGCAUUAGCUAGUUGGUAAGGUAACGGCUUACCAAGGCGACGAUGCGUAGCCGACCUGAGAGGGUGAUCGGCCACACUGGAACUGAGACACGGUCCAGACUCCGACGGGAGGCAGCAGUAGGGAAUCUUCCGCAAUGGGCGAAAGCCUGACGGAGCAACGCCGCGUGAGUGAUGAAGGUCUUCGGAUCGUAAAACUCUGUUAUUAGGGAAGAACAAAUGUGUAAGUAACUAUGCACGUCUUGACGGUACCUAAUCAGAAAGCCACGGCUAACUACGUG
rnacentral:rRNA from 1 species